UACGGAGGGGGCUAGCGUUGUUCGGAAAUACUGGGCGUAAAGCGAACGUAGGCGGCUUGGCAAGUCAGGGGUGAAAUCCCAGUGCUCAACACUGGAACUGCCUUUGAAACUGCCAGGCUUGAAUCCUGGAGAGGCGAGUGGAAUUCCGAGUGUAGAGGUGAAAUUCGUAGAUAUUCGGAAGAACACCAGUGGCGAAGGCGACUCGCUGGACAGGUAUUGACGCUGAGGUUCGAAAGCGUGGGGAGCAAACCGG
rnacentral:rRNA from 1 species